UAGCAUACUCAUUUGACGUUUAGCUGCAGAAGAAGCACCGGCUAACUCCGUGCCAGCAGCCGCGGUAAUACGGAGGGUGCGAGCGUUAAUCGGAAUUACUGGGCGUAAAGCGCAUGCAGGUGGUUUGUUAAGUCUAGAUGUGAAAGCCCGGGGCUCAACCUCGGAAUUGCAUUUGAAACUGGCAAACUAGAGUACUGUAGAGGGGGUAGGAAUUUCAGGUGUAGCGGUGAAAUGCGUAGAGAUCUGAAGGAAUACCGGUGGCGAAGGCGGCCCCCUCGGACAGAUACUGACACUCAGAUGCGAAAGCGUGGGGAGCAAACAGGAUUAGAUACCCUGGUAG
rnacentral:rRNA from 1 species